GUAUGAUGUCUUCGGACCAAAGAUUUAUCGCCCUGAGAUAAGCCCGCGUAGGAUUAGCUAGUUGGUGAGGUAAGAGCUCACCAAGGCGACGAUCCUUAGCUGGUCUGAGAGGAUGAUCAGCCACACUGGGACUGAGACACGGCCCAGACUCCUACGGGAGGCAGCAGUGGGGAAUAUUGGACAAUGGGCGAAAGCCUGAUCCAGCAAUGCCGCGUGAGUGAUGAAGGCCUUCGGGUUGUAAAGCUCUUUUGCCCGGGACGGUAAUGACGGUACCGGGAGAAUAAGCCCCGGCUAACUCCGUG
rnacentral:rRNA from 1 species